rnacentral:rRNA from 1 species
CCUACGGGAGGCAGCAGUGAGGAAUAUUGGUCAAUGGGCUUACGCCUGAACCAGCCAAGUCGCGUGAGGGAAGACUGCCCUAUGGGUUGUAAACCUCUUUUGUCAGGGAGCAAUUGGCGCUACGUGUAGCGUUAUCGAGAGUACCUGAAGAAAAAGCAUCGGCUAACUACGUGCCAGCAGCCGCGGUAAUACGGAGGAUGCGAGCGGUAUCCGGAUUUAUUGGGUUUAAAGGGUGCGUAGGCGGAAUGCUAAGUCAGCGGUAAAAUCGCGGGGCUCAACCUCGCCCCGCCGUUGAAACUAGCGUACUAGAGUGAGAUAGAAGUAAGCGGAAUGCGUGGUGAAGCGGUGAAAUGCAUAGAUAUCACGAAGAACACCGAUGGCGAAGGCAGCAUACCGGCUCCAAACUGACGCUGAAGGACGAAAGCGUGGGGAGCGAACAGGAUUAGAUACCCUGGUAGUC